UGUAGCUUCCCUGCUCACAGAUUUGGUCACAUUGACUGAUAAUUUUGAAGAAAAGGAAAAAUGGCUGUAAGUUCUCGGUGUCCUGGAUGGAGAUGGGAGGGAAUAGCCUUUUUCCUGGUGUCCAGGAGCUCAGCUGCCACAGAAUUCAUCAGGAAUAUGACAAGCCUGGAAGAAUUUCAGUUCCAGUUUCUAACCUUCCAGGGAAAUGACCUACCCAGGACGUUCUGGUAGUGCAGAAGCAGAACCAGCUCCAGAUCCUCAAAAUACGUGGUCAAGAAUCAGCCACACUUGCAUCUGUUGGAGCUGGAUGGUUUGAAGAGUAGAAAUGUUACAUGGAUGGAGUCCAAAAACUGGUGAAAGAGCAGAACAUCUGUAGCUAAGCCCUUUCUUCUGUCCUACCCUUACUCCCUGAGUGGAUGAACAGAUGCAGACACACAUCUCAUGCUUGGCAGAAGACGGAUGUCACUCUUUAGAAUAAAUGCAGCCAGUCAACAUCAACAUCUGCCUGCAUGGCUGCCUUCCACGGAUGGGGUGGGGUAAUGUCACCUGGAGACAUUUCUCAACCAGGCACUGCAGGACUCUGAUUACCCCUGUGCUGUCCAGGGAACAGCUUUUCCCUACCUUUUCUUUGAUCUUCAUGUUCUUUAGUGGAGUUUGAAAGGUGUAAAACAUUUCAGCUCCUAGCUGCUGGAAUAUUUUUUUUUCAGGGGGUAUAAUGCAGGAACAUUCUGUGGAGGAGCAGUACCAGAAGGUAGAAUUUGUCCUACUAAAAGAACCAAAUUUUCUGAGUUCUAUAACUCAGCUACUUGAAAACAGACUCAAUAUUUUGCCUUCAAUAUCUCCAACUUUGACACUGUUAUCUUCCUUAAUUAUAGUACAUCAGAGUCACUACAUUCACUUUUAAGUGACCUGAGAAGGUGCUAAACGCUUUCUCAGGAUAACUAAUUGGCGAGUUUUGUCACUGUAGAUGUUCAGGAAAAUAACACUCAGGGACAUAAUUUCUCUUCAACUGCCUCAGAUACAUUUACUGAUGCUUUUGCUUGAUUAUUUAAAAGUAUCGUGCUCAUUAAUAACGUGUGUCCCUGUCUUUGCAUGGCUCUCUUUGUUUUUCCUAACAUUUAAAAAAGGGAUAGACAUCAGAGCAAACCCUUCUUCCAGUCCUGUGCCCUGGGGCACAUAAUUUAUUCUGCUGUA